UACGUAGGGGGCGAGCGUUGUCCGGAAUUAUUGGGCGUAAAGAGCUCGUAGGCGGUUUGUCGCGUCUGCCGUGAAAGUCCGGGGCUCAACUCCGGAUCUGCGGUGGGUACGGGCAGACUAGAGUGAUGUAGGGGAGACUGGAAUUCCUGGUGUAGCGGUGAAAUGCGCAGAUAUCAGGAAGAACACCCGUGGCGAAGGCGGCUCUCUGGGACGGUACUGACGCUGAGCGCGAAAGCGUGGGGAGCAAACAGG
rnacentral:rRNA from 1 species